rnacentral:rRNA from 1 species
GACAGAGGUGGCUAGCGUUGUUCGGAUUUAUUGGGCGUAAAGCGCACGCAGGCGGUUUGGUAAGUCAGAGGUGAAAGCCCACGGCUUAACCGUGGUAUUGCCUUUGAUACUGCCUUUCUUGAGUAGAGUAGGGGGAAGCGGAAUUCCGAGUGUAGAGGUGAAAUUCGUAGAUAUUCGGAGGAACACCGGUGGCGAAGGCGGCUUCCUGGACUCUAACUGACGCUCAGGUGCGAAAGCGUGGGGAGCAAACAGG